rnacentral:pre_miRNA from 14 species
AGUUUAGGUUGAUGAUAUUAUGCCAUGACAUUGUGUCAAUAUGCGAUGAUGUGUUGUGAUGGCACAGCGUCAUCACGUGGUGACGCAACAUCAUGACGUAAAACGUCACGACUCCGGUCAA